AUGGAUUGGGUUGGAACUUGCUAUUUCUGAUGGCAGCAGCACAAAAUGCCCAAGCACAGAUUCACUUGGUGCAGUCUGGCCCUGAGCUGAAAAAGCCAGGAGAGACAGUGAAGAUCUCCUGCAAGGCUUCUGGGUAUACGUUCACAGACUAUGCAAUAAACUGGGUGAAACAGGCUCCAGAAAAGGGCUUGAAGUGGAUGGGCUGGAUCAACACCAACACUGGAAAUCCAACAUAUGCUGAUGACUUCAAGGAAAGGUUUGCCUUCUCUUUGGAAACUUCUGCCAGCCCUGCAUAUAUGCAGAUCAACAACCUCAAAACUGAGGACACGGCUACAUAUUUCUGUGCAAGGCACGGUGUGAAAACCACAUCCUGA